rnacentral:tRNA from 1 species
UGGGGUUGGGCUCAGUGCUAGAGCACUCGCCUAGCACAUGUGAGGCCCUGGGUUUGAUCCUCAGCACCACAG